GUCCACGCCGUAAACGAUGAAUGCCAGCCGUUAGUGGGUUUACUCACUAGUGGCGCAGCUAACGCUUUAAGCAUUCCGCCUGGGGAGUACGGUCGCAAGAUUAAAAACUCAAAGGAAUUGACGGGGGCCCCGCACAAGCGGUGGAGCAUGUGGUUUAAUUCGACGCAACGCGCAGAACCUUACCAGCCCCUUGACAUCCCGGUCGCGGACUCCAGAGAUGGAGUUCUUCAGUUCGGCUGGACCGGAGACAGGUGCUGCAUGGCUGUCGU
rnacentral:rRNA from 1 species